GAUGAACGCUGGCGGCGUGCCUAAUACAUGCAAGUCGAGCGAACAGACGAGGAGCUUGCUCCUCUGACGUUAGCGGCGGACGGGUGAGUAACACGUGGAUAACCUACCUAUAAGUCUGGGAUAACUUCGGGAAACCGGAGCUAAUACCGGAUAAUAUAUUGAACCGCAUGGUUCAAUAGUGAAAGACGGUUUUGCUGUCUAUUAUAGAUGGAUCCGCGCCGCAUUAGCUAGUUGGUAAGGUAACGGCUUACCAAGGCAACGAUGCGUAGCCGACCUGAUAGGGGGAUAGGCGACACUGGAAGGGAGGCACGGUCCAGACACCUACGGGAGGCAGCAGAAGGGAAUGUGCGGCAAUGGGGGAAAGCAUGACGGAGCAAGGCCACGUGAGUGAUGAAGGUCUUCGGAGCGUAAAACUCUGUUAUGAGGGAAGAACAAAUGUGUAAGUAACUAUGCACGUCUUGACGGUACCUAAUCAGAAAGCCACGGCUAACUACGUG
rnacentral:rRNA from 1 species